AAGGGUAUAGCCCAGUGGUAGGGUGCAUGCUUAGCAUGCAUGAGGUCCUGGGUUCAAUCUCCAGCUACCUCA
rnacentral:tRNA from 1 species